rnacentral:misc_RNA from 1 species
AUUCGUAUCUUGGUAUCCAUACCGGAAGGUGGGGAUGGAUCACCUCCUUUCGAUGGAAUUUAGUUUCCAAUGUGAAACCAAGACAACAAGAAAAAUUAGAUGGAUGAUUUACUGGAUUACUUCUUUUGUUAUGUUUAGUUUUCAGGGAUUGCUUUCUCCGAGCAAAUGGUCUUUAAAAACCGGAUCUUUGACGUCGUUUAAAAAGAAUAAGAUUAUUUUUAUUUUGCAAUACGAUCUUCUGAAAAUCUAUUAUUAUGAGCGUAUGGUGGAUGGCUUGGU